CAUGGGGCCCACAGAUUGGUUGGACCAGUUGUGAAAUUUACAUAACACGCAGGGUAGGCUAGCUACCCCAUUCUAAUCUUAUUAUGCAAAGGGCUUUCCACUUGGUCUGUGCUGUGUUGUCUGCUUCUUACUGUACACGUGGAAGUAAGGAGUGGCAAAGAGAAGGGAACACGGAGCCGCCAUUUGGAACAUGCCUAGCUCCAGGUUCUGAUAUGCUUUGGAUUAUGUCCCCACCCAAAUCUCAUGUUGAAAUGUAAUCCCCAUUGUUGGAGGUGGGGCCUGGUGGGAGGUAAUUGGAUCAUGGGACCAGUUUCUUAUGAGAGGUUUAGCACCAUCACCUCAGUGCUGUUCUCAUGAUAGUGAGUUCUCAUGAGACCUGGUUGUUUAAAAGUGUGUAGCCCCUCCCCCUCCUCCUCCUGGUCCAGCCAUGUGAAGUGCUCACUCCCCCUUUGCCUUCUGCCAUGAUUGUAAGUCUCCAGAGGCCUCCCCAGAAGCCAAGCAGAUGCCAGCAUCAUGCUUCCUGUACAGCCUGUGGAAUCAUGAGCCAACUAAACUUCAAUUAAACCUUUCUAAAUUACUCAAUCUCCAGGUUUUGUUUGUUUGUUUGUUUGUUUUUGAGACAGGGUUUUGCUCUUGUUGCCCAAGCUGGAGUGCAAUGGCGCAAUCUUGACUCACUGCAACCUCCGCCUCCCGGAUUCAG
rnacentral:lncRNA from 10 species